rnacentral:misc_RNA from 1 species
AUGGUCUAACAUCAACGCAAUAGCCUUUGGGGUGAUUUUCAAAAAAGGAAAAAAAAAAUGAAAAGGAAAAAGCCUCGGGUGAUGCAGCCAAUGGAUGAAGUAAAUAGACUUUGGGUGUUUGGGUUAUGAGGUCGACGGGUUUGAGGGGUUCUCUUUGGGUGAUGCAUCUGAAGAAGGAGCUUUGGGCACUAGAAGGAAUUGCUAUGUAUUUGUGUUUUGUUUGGCAAGAAAGAAAAUUG